UACGUAGGGGGCUAGCGUUGUCCGGAAUCAUUGGGCGUAAAGCGCGCGUAGGCGGCCCGGUAAGUCCGCUGUGAAAGUCAAAGGCUCAACCUUUGAAUGUCAGCGGAUACUGCCAGGCUAGAGUCCGGAAGAGGCGAGUGGAACUCCUGGUGUAGCGGUGGAAUGCGCAGAUAUCAGGAGGAACACCGGUGGCGAAGGCGGAUCUCUGGGCCUUACCUGACGCUCAGGUGCGAAAGCUAGGGGAGCGAACAGG
rnacentral:rRNA from 1 species